CCCUUCCCAGCCGCACAGGUAGCCCCGGCACCCAGUGCUUUGUAUUGCCCAGCAAAUCCUUCAGAUCUCAUGCAGGUGAUGUGUUCAGGGUCUUUGGUAAUACAUGCCUUGCACCUGGGGAAAAUAUCCCAAGUCCAGGUUUGGUACCGCUUGAGAUGACAAGCCCUUAGAGACUGCACGUGGGUCCCAGUUCGUCCAAGCACCAGGCACUCAGUAAUGGGAAGUUUGGGUAGAAAGUGAGCAUCAUCAUACAAGUUAGUGCAGCCGUGGAGCAGAAGCAGGAGAAGAGGGGGAAAAUGGAGAUACAUCUACCAGCAAGGCCCAGUAUCUACAGGCAUGUCUAAAGAGGGAGCAGUACCAUGGCAUUGUAAUGGCAGUAAGCUGUAGAGCCUGAGCAUUGGAGACAGCGAGUAAUGCCAAGCCAACCUGACAGAGAGACUGAGCAGUGGAGAGAUCUUGUGAACUAGCCUGGCUUGCAUUUACAUCGAGUCCUUAAUUUUCAAAUUACUGGGUUGAGUUUGAUGGAGGGCAGGACAGAGGCCCAACAUACUGCAGAGUAAUAUACAUGGGAGGUCAUUGCUCUACAUGUAAUAGUGAUAAUAACCUUUACGUAGGACUGGUUUGUGGUGCUUUUAUGGAAACACACAAAACAUGACAUUUUUUCACACAGUGUAUUACCUUUCUUUACUCAGUGACCUUACAAGAGGCAAUACUCACACUUGCAAAAAUUCCCUGGAGUGUAUCCGCUAGGUAUGGGGAGGGGCUGCUACACCCACACAAAGAACCUUGUUACACAGUAGAAGUCAUGUAAUUCUGGCAUCUUAUCAGAGCAAAGCAGAGUGGUUAGGUAUAGCGGUUGCUUUAAUCUCCCUUUUCUUAAAAAAAAAAAAUUAAAAAAAAUUAAAAAUGCCAAUAUGUAACAUUUUUGUCAUUGGCCUAGACAGGAUAAGCCAUUUGUUACUCACAUGGAGCUCUGCCAGUAUUCAUUAUUGUUGGCUUACAGAUUUCUCUGGGACUCCAAAAACAGCACCCCAUACAAGCCUACCUUAGUGCUAACCCUCACCACUCUGCCAGCCUGGUUCUAAGCUUUGCCAGCUCUUCUCUGGUAUGGCCUGUGGUAUCCUCUGAUUUUCCAUUUCAAAGUCUGUCUGAUCCACACCUGAACAUAUGCCAUUCCACAUGACACAAGCAGAGAGACCUUGAAAGGAAGAGGAGGGGAAGAGCUGGGAGAUCUGAAUAUGAAUGUCCUUGUGGAUAUCAGGAUCAGCUUGGUUGAGGUUGGGCAAGUUAUGCUUGUGCACACCUGAAUCUGUGAAAAGACAGGCAGAAUCUAGUACGGUUUUGUUGAGGCAGUGAUCCCGCCACUGAAGUACCACAUCACCUCAUACUUAAGUCUUGAUUAAAUUCCAGUCCAGAUAACAAUAUUACACUUGCCUACAUUCUCCUCUCCAAUUUCGUAGGGGGAUUUUUGCAUCUGACCUAUUUUGUGUUUUGUCUUCAUGUGUUAUCACUUGUACUUUAAACAUGAAUACCUUUCUUUGGUGUAUUUUUCACACACAAACACAAGGAUAUCAGGAUCUCUAUGCUAGAUGUUUGUUACCACCAUGAAAAAGUAAUUGUUUUCUUAAUCCCUAAUAGAGAAUACCAGCUACACUGGAAACCUAUACACCAGUGCCUAUGAGGCUCUGACACCAGCAGCACCUUAACACCAAGUAAAAGUUCCAGAGAGGUUCAGAAAUUCCCAAAUACAGAAACCCCUUCAUUGUCAAAGCCUUGUUCAUAGCCUUGCCACAUGUACUCCCAGCCAUGGCCAGGUAUUUCUCUGUAGUGAGAAAUAUUUCCCUUGUGGACAGUAACUGCCUUAGUGCAGAAGAGACUUCAUAGCCUGGCCUAUGUAUCACCACUAAAUCUUACUGAGCUGUUCUGACCCCAAAAAUUUCAGAAAGUCACCAUUCAGGAGACUGGAGGGAUAUCUAAGCUCUGUUUAAAGACACCAUUAAGACAGAAAAUGCACAAGUCUUUCCCAGUGGUCACUUUCACCAUUGAAAAUGUGUGCCUAACUCUUUGGCACACUGUGUCCGGCACUCUAGUUUGUAUAGGUGCACUUUACUGGUGUGUCAUCAAAGAAAACUCUAGGUAAAUAGAAUAAACUAGAGAAACAGAAAGCUUUGGGCCAUUAAAUUGUCUGUUGUUUGUCUCAGGUUGCUGGCAAGUAUGAAGUGCCUGCACUGGGUGUCAUUGGCAUUGCAGAGAUGCUGAUGAGCCAAGAGAAAGCCAUUGACCAAACAUAAGAGGAAUUGGACACCUAAUCUUCUCACUUGAACUCUUCUGAGAAACCCUGCCAUCACUCAGAGUGCCAAAUACUGCUGGCACAGAGCCACUUCAAUCAGUGAUGUCUCACUAGCAAACUUGCCCAGAGUCUGUAACUAAAAACCACAAAGAGAGAGGGACACAGAACAGGAAAAGAAGUUGUUCUUCAUGUCCAGGCAUUUGUACACCAGGCCCAACACAUGGAUCCUUCAGAGGAAGAUGUCUUAAUUGCUGAGAACCUGCAGUAGCAGAAGAACCUUUUCUACUAUGCUGACACCUGCAAAUCUCCAUCUAGAGGCAAGUUUGGGGCAGUCCAGAGAAAAGACUGAAAAGCCACAGCUGAGCACAUUCAUGACCCUAUGAAGAACAGCAACCACAGAAAGAGAGAAUCUGUUCAGUCACCCUAAAAUGAGCUAUGAUUUUGAAGUUGGGUUGGACUCCAUAUGGACUCCAGAAAAGAGAUCUGUUCCAACCUCAUUUAUCAAUCUUAUCAAGGCAAGGAUUCCUUCUGCUCAUCCUGUCUACCUGGGUGGGAUAGAUGGAAAGUGGGUGGGGAAAAAACAACCUCUGAAAUUUUGAGGACUUGGUACUCUGGGCUGCAAAUGCGAAGGAGAACAGCUAGUGAAUCCCCCCAUACAUGAGAACUCUAUACCCAUGCCGAGUGGGCUCACCAUCAGAAGUGCAAAAGAAGUGUGUGUGGGAAUCAGGCCAGGGCUCAUGGGAGGCAGGGUCUUUUGCCUGACCUCCCCUCCAUGUGAUCAUCCACCAGCACAGACAGCAACAAAAAGGAGAGGCAAGCAACUGAGGACCAGACCCUGUGAGUUCAGAAAGUUAUGAUAUUGGGACUAUAUUUUGUUGCUUGAGCACAUUUACCUUGCCUCACAGAAACGCUCAGACGAAUGCAAUGAAGUAUUUUUUCUCAUGGGUUUAGCACCCCCCUCAUCUGCCUCUCUCCAUUAGCAGUCCAUAUCUUCAGGAAACUCAGAAUCAGAUUUAUGUUCUAAAUGGCAUGAAACAGCUUGGAAAUAUAUUCCAGCAAAGAAAUCCUGAUAUCAAAUUAGGCACUCUUUGUCUUCUCAGCUGUAGAGGCAAAAUGGUGACAAAAUAGCAGAAUACAUUCUAAGUUGCCUUGAUCCCUCAAUAUUUCACCGGGGCCAAGAGUAACACUUGUUAUCAGGCAAGGAAAGUUUGUUUUUUCUUCCCUACCAGUUUCUUAGCACUGAUUUAAUUUUCACACUGACACCAGCAAAACGGCACUUAAAUCACAGCCCUGAGAACCAGCUACAUGUAUCCAAAGCUGAGCAGAGUUCAAACCUCAGCCCUGUGCUGAUACAGAGUCUUUUCUGUUUUAAAUUGCCCACCCACUCACUAUUCCCAGCUGCCGAGCCACAUAACGUUCAAAGACCACACACAAGGUGCAAGAGCAAUAGGGGCCUGUUGAAAAUUAAAGUGCAACAGCUUAGUCAAGAGGCUAGACUCCAGCAUUGCUGCCUAGAAAAUGGGGGCAAGGAAUGAGACGGAAGGGCAGACAGGACCGUGGGAGAUCCGUACAGAAAGUGAUGGGAAUCUACACUGGAGUCUGUUUUGCAGAAAUCCCCUAUCCUCAGCUCAACAGAUAACAGAGACACACAGAGCUUCCUAUAUGAGCACAGGAGAGAAUCAGCUCAGAAAAAGAGCUGCUGCUUUCCAGAAGCUAGAUGAGAUACUAGGAUCCUGGGGUUUGUUCUCAGCUUGGCUGAAAGCACCUAGGGCUGGUCAAAACCCCCCCUGCCUUAUUUCCCCUUCUUGAGCGAGUGUAAAGAAGUAUAAGACAUGUUUGCUAUGUCCCAUUGCCCCCAAUAGACAACAAAACUGUCAAAGAGCUCUGGUUUCUUCUCUCCAGUGCUGCUGAUGAAGUGACCUUGCUCUGAAAUGUACUCAUUUGAAUGCUAUAUAGUAGUGUCACUAUUUCUCUUCAUCCCAUUGUAAGAGCACAUUGCUACUGGAAGCUACAGAGUGUUUCAUUAUCACUCAGUGGUGGCACAAGGGCAGAAGUGGGUCAGCAUCAUCACACACAGUGCAACACAACCCAUUUUAGAAAAGAGUGUGGUCCUCCUAGUGACUCCAGGCUAGUACUCACAGGGUCUGAGGCAAACUGGUAAAAAUAGACCAUAUCCUGAACCUAUCUGCUCAUAUGGCCAAGUCUGCAAAGAGUUUUGCACAAGAGACUGUUCACCUCAAAAUGUUUUAAAAACAUUCUUAGGUUUUGUACUGUUGCUUCUAUACAUAUGAAUAUGUCUUCAUGCAUCAAGAUUUUGUGCUUCAUCACUAACCAAUGCUAAAUGCUUAAAGGCUGAGUCAAGCUGUACUCUAAGUAUGGGCUGUUUAAUCCAUCACUAAAUGAAACAGCUUCGCUGCUGAGACAAGGCAAUGUUGUACCAGCACACAGCACAGCCCAGCAGUCAGAACAAGAAACAACCAAGGUGGUUUCUAGCGAAGUGCUCAGCGUGUUUGAAGAGGCAGACUGCCAGCACUCUAUGGUGUCAGCUAAGAAGAGAAGAAAGGAGGAAAGAUGAAACACAACAUGCCAUGAACUUUCUCACUGCAACUCUGAUUACUACUAGCAAAAGAAAGCAAGUCAAGGAGGCACUGGAAGGAAAGACUCAGUGAAGUACCCCAUACCAAGUACUCUGAGAUGGUGGUUUGAACCCAGAACCACAUAGCGUAGCUAGCAUGUGUUCCUGUAAUGAUC